rnacentral:misc_RNA from 1 species
CAUUGUUUUGCUCUUUUGUUGCGAAGAGUGCGAUUUCGAGUGAUAGAAAAAUGUUUUUUGAUUCUGGCGAUUAUCGACCCUUGGGUCCACCCUUGGGUGAGCGAUUGGUUGAAGGUAAGGAGGACUAUGGAUCGAAUAAUGACAUUAUGGGUCUUCCAACGAACAUCGAAAUGAAUAAAGGCUUCAAGAAGCACGAAGAUUGUACGGAAAAUACGAACACCAUUGGGUAUACUAUUGGAUAUACCAUUGGAUAUGCUAUUGGAUGUGCUGUUAGAGAUAGAAAGACAUUGAAAAAAGCCGGAUCUUUCUUCAAGGCAGUAUGGAAACCAGUCAAGAGAUCAGCGCAGAAAGUAUGGAAAAGUAUGAAAAAUGGAGAGACUGAGUACGUUCAGUUUGAAUAAGGAUCUCUUUUCUUCCAUCAUUGCAUCAAGUAUCCAUCUGCUUGAUUUGGUCCGAGUUCGUCUCGGAUUUAAGAAGUUUUAUUUUAAAAUAUCCAAAAAAAAUUCAAGAGAAAUCUUUAUAAAUACCAAAAAAACAUUUUAAAUUUUAAUUAUUUGGAUUUUCCGACUGUGGCUUCCUCAAACUUGUCUUUAUCCCGAUUUUGACUUUAUUCCGAUUA